UACGGGGGGGGCAAGCGUUGUUCGGAAUUACUGGGCGUAAAGGGCUCGUAGGUGGCCAACUAAGUCAGACGUGAAAUCCCUCGGCUUAACCGGGGAACUGCGUCUGAUACUGGAUGGCUUGAGUUCGGGAGAGGGAUGCGGAAUUCCAGGUGUAGCGGUGAAAUUCGUAGAUAUUGGGAAGAACACCGGUGGCGAAGGCGGCGACCUGGUCCAUUACUGACGCUGAGGCGCGACAGCGUGGGGAGCAAACAGG
rnacentral:rRNA from 1 species